CACUUCAAUUCAAUCCUGUGUGUUCCUUCUCACUGGAUUUAAAAUUUUAUCCUGAAUAAAAUGGACAGCGAGACAAGCAUGUAUCUCGAAAAUUUAGAGGAAUAUAUCCUCGACGAAGACAGAGUUGUGACUUACAAGUGGCUCAGCCAGACUCUAGAAAUUCAUGUGAAUUUAGCAAAGAGAUUGCUGGAAACCUUCUUUAUUGACCAGAAGAAGAAAGGAUCUUCCACAUUACGAGUAACGUAUGCAGUCACAGGAACGCAAGAAACAAAAAAUGGAACCCAGGUAACGACAUUGAAAAUUCAAGUGUACUGUAAAAUGU